GGGAUGGGGAUGGGGCCCUUCCGGGACGGUGAGAUGGGGGUCGGUGGGGGCAGGGGCUUGGGGUUGUUUUUUGCGCUCCGAUGUGGCCCUGCGUCGAGGUUGGAAGUGGUUGCGGCUCCUGAAGCCAGCAGAGGAGAAACAGCAGCCUGAGGUGAAACAACAUUCAACAGAACCUCAUCAGGUGCUUUCAGAGGACUCUGAAAAAAGCUUAAGCAGCAGUCACAGGAGAUUAAAUGCAGUUAAGCAUAACACAGUGUGAAGAUGAGACGAAAAAUGAAGCAGAGGUGCCUUAUCUCCCAGUUCAUAGCAGCACAAGUUUUAUAUUCCAGACACAAUGUCUGGGUUGAAAUCGUACUACGUAAAUCCGUAAGCCCCAGCUGGUAGUUAAGCAGUUCACAGCACAGAUGUCUGUGGAAGAGAAGCUCCUGCAGCCAGCCAGCCCUGUACUGACAGCAAGCAGUUCUCACUGCAGCACUGUGGUUAGCUGUGUCACGCAACAUAUAAAUCAUAAAGACAAAGGCAGCUUUCCCUGGCCAGGUCAGUAAGAAGAAACCACAGUUACCAAAUCAGUGUCUUGGCACUGCAACUGCACAGCGCCUCAGUGGAGCAGGUUAACGGGGUCGGGUCCCUUCCUCCAGAGGUUUGGCCUCACUCACCUUCAGGCAGCUGAGUUUCUGUUGACUCAAAGGGGAAGCAAGAAGUUUGAGGAAUGCUGCUGAAAGGCCUCAUGUUGUCUGACAUCCUAUGACAAGGAAAAAUAAACUCCUUUGACCACAA